UCAGUUCAGAUCGUAGGCUGCAACUCGCCUACGUGAAGUAGGAAUCGCUAGUAAUCGCAGGUCAGCAUACUGCGGUGAAUACGUUCCCGGGCCUUGUACACACCGCCCGUCACACCAUGGAAGUUGGCCACGCCCGAAGUCGUUACUUUAACCUUUGUGGAGAAGGACGCCGAAGGUGGGGCUGAUGACUGGGGUGAAGUCGUAACAAGGUAGCCGUACCGGAAGGUGCGGCUGGAUCACCUCCUAA
rnacentral:rRNA from 1 species